AGCGAACGCUGGCGGCAGGCUUAACACAUGCAAGUCGAACGCCCCGCAAGGGGAGUGGCAGACGGGUGAGUAACACGUGGGAACGUACCCUUUGGUUCGGAAUAACUUGGGGAAACUCAAGCUAAUACCGGAUAAGCCCUUUUGGGGAAAGGUUUACUGCCGAAGGAUCGGCCCGCGUCUGAUUAGCUAGUUGGUGAGGUAACGGCUCACCAAGGCGACGAUCAGUAGCUGGUCUGAGAGGAUGAUCAGCCACACUGGGACUGAGACACGGCCCAGACUCCUACGGGAGGCAGCAGUGGGGAAUAUUGGACAAUGGGGGCAACCCUGAUCCAGCCAUGCCGCGUGAGUGAUGAAGGCCUUAGGGUUGUAAAGCUCUUUUACCCGGGACGAUAAUGACUGUACCGGGAGAAUAAGCCCCGGCUAACUUCGUGCCAGCCGCCGCGGUAACAC
rnacentral:rRNA from 1 species